AAUAGAUACCCCGGUAGUCCUAGCUGUAAACGAUGAGCACUGGGUUGAAGGGUCCUCCAUAGCCUUUCAGCCGUAGCGAAAGUGUUAAGUGCUCCGCCUGGGGAGUAUGGUCGCAAGGCUGAAACUCAAAGAAAUUGACGGGGGCUCACACAAGCGGUGGAGGAUGUGGCUUAAUUCGAGGCUACGCGAAGAACCUUAUCCUAGUCUUGACAUGCACGGAUUAACCCCUGGAAACAGGGGCCACGCCUUCGGGUGGAACGUGCACAGGUGCUGCAUGGCUGUCGUCAGCUCGUGCUGUGAAGUGUCGGGUUAAGUCCCUUAACGAGCGAAACCCUUGUCGCUAGUUGCCAGCGGGUCAUGCCGGGGACUCUAGCGAGACCGCCGGCGUUAAGCCGGAGGAAGGUGGGGAUGACGUCAAGUCCUCAUGGCCUUUAUGACUAGGGCUGCACACGUCCUACAAUGGUCUGCACAAAGGGACGCAAAAUCGUGAGAUCGAGCAAACUACCCGAAAAACGACGGCCCCGAGUUCGGAUCGGAGUCGUCG
rnacentral:rRNA from 1 species